rnacentral:rRNA from 1 species
UGAAGCUUGCUUCAAUUGCCGGCGACCGGCGCACGGGUGCGUAACGCGUAUGUAACCUACCUAUAACAGGGGCAUAACACUGAGAAAUUGGUACUAAUUCCCCAUAAUAUUCGGAGAGGCAUCUCUCCGGGUUGAAAACUCCGGUGGUUAUAGAUGGACAUGCGUUGUAUUAGCUAGUUGGUGAGGUAACGGCUCACCAAGGCAACGAUACAUAGGGGGACUGAGAGGUUAACCCCCCACACUGGUACUGAGACACGGACCAGACUCCUACGGGAGGCAGCAGUGAGGAAUAUUGGUCAAUGGACGCAAGUCUGAACCAGCCAUGCCGCGUGCAGGAAGACGGCUCUAUGAGUUGUAAACUGCUUUUGUACGAGGGUAAACUCACCUACGUGUAGGUGACUGAAAGUAUCGUACGAAUAAGGAUCGGCUAACUCCGUGCCAGCAGCCGCGGUAAUACGGAGGAUUCAAGCGUUAUCCGGAUUUAUUGGGUUUAAAGGGUGCGUAGGCGGUUUGAUAAGUUAGAGGUGAAAUCCCGGGGCUUAACUCCGGAACUGCCUCUAAUACUGUUAGACUAGAGAGUAGUUGCGGUAGGCGGAAUGUAUGGUGUAGCGGUGAAAUGCUCAGAGAUCAUACAGAACACCGAUUGCGAAGGCAGCUUACC